GGCCACCUUCGGGGGGCUUCACCAUAGGCAGAGUAUCUGCCGCUAAGCAAACGGAAGACAGAAA
rfam:Rhodobacteraceae bacterium SB2 pfor_3, whole genome shotgun sequence.